UCAUGCAUGAAAAACAAAAGACUUAAAAGAAAGAUACGGCAAAAAUGCAAGUUGGAGCUGAAAGGUUGGCCAAACUUGAAUCUAACAACUAAAAUACAAAAACAGAAAAAGCGUUGCUCUAGAAACUGCGUUACCAUAAUGAUUCACAAGCAAUAUUAUGAGCCUGCUGUAUAACAUAGAAAAAUAAAUGAAUUAGAAAACACAGGAAGUUCAUUGUUUCAUUUAUCCUUCUGAAAUUUCUCCACAUAUGCCUGCAAUCCAAAAAAUAAAUAAGUCAAUACAUGAAAAGACAAACAUAACGGUACCAAAAGUAUUACCUGAAAAAAAAAAAAAAAUUCUGAACAGCCUAUACCCUUUAAUAAUUUUGUACCAUGAAAAAAGUACUAAAAAAAUGCAGAAAUUCAACUAAUUCCCAUCCAUUACCAAAUUUAUAUUGCCUGAGAAAUACAAUGUAAAAUACGUAAAUGAAAGCCCACCUGUACAAGUUUGGUCAGCUUUGGCUUUGAAAAUGAAAGAUAUUGUUGAAUUUUUUCUUGUGUUUGAGGAACAUUAGCCCCCUGCAUUGUUCCAGUAACUUUGUCGACUACUUUCUUCACUAUGUUUUUAUAAGCAUCUUUGCUCAUUUGACCUUCCUUCCAUGUGGGUUUCAGAAGCUCCUUAACAAACUCCACUAGUGCGAACUUAAAAGCACGGAGCCCCUUAACAUCCUUAUUUUUUUUGCCCUCAUCAGUCUUUCCAUCUCCAUCGACGUUCUCCAAGGGACCAUCAUCUUCUGCAGUCACCUCCACUGCUUUCCCUAUAUUCAAAAGAAUUUAUUAUUCAAUGAAAAAAAUUAUUCCACGUUAAAUUUGCCCACAACUAAAAAUAUUAAACUUCGGUUUUACUAUGGCAACCAGCGAGUGAUUACAAACAAGCCAUAAUAGCAUUCAAGAUCCGAUCCAAUCAAUCAUCUUGAACAGGGAUAACAGCAGACCCACUUCACAUUCCGCAGUAUAUACAUUAAAAUAAAAGGGCAACAGAAAUACCAAUCUCACCGAACCAGGAAUAACCAUUCCAUAUAUUGUCCAAACACAAAGAUGCAAUCAAAAAGAAUAUAUAGCAAAAGAUAAAAUAAUAAAAAGACCUGAAUAGCCAUUAUCCAACACAACAUCAUCAAAGUCAGAGAUACGCAGUAGUGUGAGAGACUGCCUGUGCACCGACUGCACUGGGUAAUCUCUCCAAGGCAUAACUAGAAAACUGGGGUUAAAUCUUCAACUCAUCACUGGGCAGAAAACAUGGCAGCAUAAUUACAUAAAAUUCUGCAUAGAGGGCAGAUGUGAAUUACAUAAUAAAAUAAGCACUGCAACUAUAACAUGUCAAAUAAUAGUUCCAUCAGCAAUUUGCAAGAUGAAGAAAAGAACACUAACUGCCAAAAUUUAACUAGACAAGGUAAAUUCUCAAGUACGAGACCAAACCAUGUAAUAGGAAUCUUGCAAAAUAAUUGUUAAGACAAAGCAUGAGCUAUAUAACCCAAGCUAAACCAUGUAAUGCAAAUCAUGUGCAAUGCCAUUUACUUGAAAGGUGCAAGUGCAAAUACCUCAUGCAUGAAAAACAAAAGACUUAAAAGAAAGAUACGGCAAAAAUGCAAGUUGGAGCUGAAAGGUUGGCCAAACUUGAAUCUAACAACUAAAAUACAAAAACAGAAAAAGCGUUGCUCUAGAAACUGCGUUACCAUAAUGAUUCACAAGCAAUAUUAUGAGCCUGCUGUAUAACAUAGAAAAAUAAAUGAAUUAGAAAACACAGGAAGUUC
rnacentral:lncRNA from 1 species